GCCGGUGUGGUGCAGUGGUUAACAUGUGGGACUAAGACCUGGGAGAUCAGGGUUCGAAUCACCCCUCAGCCACUGGUG